AUAUAUUUGUUUGGGAACAUACCACACCUUACAUUAAAUUAAUCCCUGGCAUAAUUCACUGCAUUGAAUUUUGUAGGAUCCUGCCAAGGCUUCGUCCAGAACAACUCAGAGGCAGUGGCUGCGGGGAAGUUACUGUUUUGCCAUCCACGACAGCUGACACCGUCAUCACUAAAAACACUCCAAAUGAAAUAGAUGCUUAUCUUUAGGAUAUCUGAGAAACGGGAGCUGAAGCAGCACGCGGCGCAGAUCCAGAAAUUCACCUUCCUGCCUGCUCACUCAGCUCUGCCGUGUACAGCGAGGCAUCCGGGCACCCGCACUAAAGGGAUCUCAUCCUGAUUUCCUCCUAAUACCAGUGCUUCUUGCAUGUAUUUUAAUUUUUAAACAGGAAUAGUCUUCCACUGCCUGUCAAAGGGAGUGUCGGGAGUGGAGGUAUGAGCCAGCUGAUUUUCAGAAAUGGAGACGCUGAGACCUGCCGACGGAUUUUGUCACGACUGACGUUUUCAUAGCAUAGGGCUAAAAUGUGCUCUCAGUUACCUGAGUGCAAAUCUGCAGAUUUAAAUGGAGUUUGUCAUAAGAGGGGACUGGAUUUAGCCAUAAUUUUCUGCUGCUCUCUAAUCGCUGUAGUCUGAAGAAAGCAACAUAUGUAUAAUGGUAGCCGAGAUGCAGGAAGGGUAAGAAGCUUUCUACCAAUGAGGAUCGCAUUAAAUAAUUAAUUCCCAAUUGCCUUUCUACAUUAGUGCUUUCAGCUAAAAAAGCCAGUCAGCUUUGUAAGGCCCCAGGCACUGAAACAUUUGGUGCAUUGUCAGUCCGAAAGUCAGGGUAAUAGAUACCCAGGGUGUGCUGGAAAAGUGCUGCCCUCCAUCGUGCCAUUUGCAUAUCCAGAUGCACAGCUUCCUUCCUCACCCGUCCUUUUUGUUCCUGGAGUUUGAGAGGACAGCAACUCUUCCAAGGUGGCUGCUGAAGAAGCCAAAAGUGUCUUUAUUUUACCCAAAUCAGAGGAACUGAUUGCUCUAGUCUAAAACCUGAGUAUACAAAAGCAGCAUGUGGGUCUCUUAUCAGCAGACCAAAUCUGGCCAGUUAAUAAGGAAAGGAAUGAAUUUCCCCCUCCUUUCCCAUUUGCCCCCCUUACCCCAUCUGCUGGUCCCCCAAGCUCAGCCUGUAAAGUCAGGUCAAGAUGGGAUCUUUUGGGCUCAUACAUCAUUCACAAUAAAGAUCUUGCCACAAGAAAUGACUUUACAAGUCUUUUGAUGUGCAAGUCAUCAGAGACAGCUCAGCUCACCUUCUGAGACAGAUACACGUGUGUGCGUGCGUGCAUGUGUGUGUGCAUAAAGCUGAAGAAGAAAAGGAAGCAUCGGAAUAAACCGCCCGAGGAGGUUGGAGAUUCACAUUUAAAAACAGGUCUAGACAAACAUCUGUCAGAAAAUACCGCCGUGCAUUUGAUCUUGUCUUGGAGUUGAGGAAAAGGCUGAAUGGAGAUGUCUGGUCCUCUCCAGCCCUGAGACACCACAGUUAUAUAUACAUAAAUGUUGGGCCAUGCAAGUACAUGUAUAUUUCCAGUCGUACUGUGAAAAGCUUUUGGCUCCUAUGGUAUUUUCUGGCUGUGAAUCCUGUAGGCUAAUUAUAGAGAGGUUUGCUGUCUCUUGGUUUCAUUAAAUUUCAGUUCCACUGA